ACCUUUGCACAGUGGAAGCAUCGUAGCUGAUGAGGUUUAUCUGAGGUGCAAGUAUUGCGAAUAAAACUUUCCCCAAUACUCGGCCAUGACGACUUGAAAUAUGGUCGACAUUGGCAAUCUUCGACAGUCUCUACAGAGA
ensembl:snRNA U4 U4 spliceosomal RNA